rnacentral:lncRNA from 1 species
UACAUGCCUGUAUAAAUAUUUCUUCAGACGUCCUACUGAUUUGUUCAGAAAACAAAUGAGUGUCUGGAAUCUUCUGGUAGUGCUCUUCAUCUUUUCAUAGGUCUCCCCCUUCCUGAAACUGGUAUGCAAAGGGCUCCUCACAGAGUCUUAACUGAAAGAUUGGUACCUCAACAUAUAGUAUCUCAAUAUAUAUAUCUCUUGUAAGACAGCUUCGCUCCUGAAGCCUCUAGAGUGUUUCCUAGCCUUGAAUUUAAAGAUUUUGCACAAAGCAUUGAAAUAAAUCUGUUUCUAGCCAUUGAAAAUGAGGCUUUUCACACUCAGUACCUCCAUAAGUUUGCAUAUGAGCCAGAUUGGUGCAAACAUGAAGAGUAGCUCUGUGCUCCCAUUUGACAUUGGUUCAGAUCACUGGAAGGAUGUUCUCAUAAACAAAGAGCUGCAGGCCAUGUCAGAACCCCUUUUCUCCUCCUAAUCCACAGCUCAGUUAAGAAAUAACACAGUUUUCUUCAUUCAGACCUCCUUUUGUCUUUUCUCAUGCGUCUGGGGUGGCUUUUUUCUCCUCUGUGCUAUCAUACUGCUGCUGAAUGUUGAUGAGGGACUACUUAGGCCAAUCCUAGAGACUUACUUUUUUUUUUCCCUUCAGCUCUAGCAAUACCUGAUCCUUGCAUUUUAGAACACCGGGUAGCUUAGAUUGCCUGAAUACAAGGUAGUGCCCUGGAGUGGUGCUGAGGAAAGGAGGUACAUUAAGAAACAAGGCAGAAAUGUUUCUCUCAAUAAAUCUUGCAGAAGAACACGAAUACUCUGUCUUGCCAUGUGAGCAAAAAUCACAAGAUGGAGUCGUAUUGGAGAGGAGAGAAAACAAAGGUUCAGUGCUGGUGUUCCAGGUCUCUCUUUCAUAUCUCCUCCUCCAGCAGGAGCAAACAGCUCAGUGUCGGAUUACCUCUGGCAGCAGGGCUGGGGCAUUGGAUGUUCAAGCCCUUGUCCUCAGAGCCCAGCAGCUUAGAGCCCUGCAAAAUGUAAGGUCAGCUCUGGCUGUCACUUGA